UACGUAGGGUGCGAGCGUUGUCCGGAAUACUGGGCGUAAAGAGCUCGUAGGUGGUUUGUCGCGUUGUUCGUGAAAACUCACAGCUACAACUGUGGGCGUGCGGGCGAUACGGGCAGACUGGAGUACUGCAGGGGAGACUGGAAUUCCUGGUGUAGCGGUGGAAUGCGCAGAUAUCAGGAGGAACACCGGUGGCGAAGGCGGGUCUCUGGGCAGUAACUGACGCUGAGGAGCGAAAGCGUGGGGAGCGAACAGG
rnacentral:rRNA from 1 species